AUCACACAAUUCCAACUGCUGUUCACAGUAGGAGAUGCUUGCUCUGUAGCAUAGAAAGAAAAGAAAAUGUCCUUUGGCAUUGAAAGCGUUAGAUGGGCAGGGUAAAAAGGAGGACAAGAAUGAAUACUUGGGUAUAAUCUGCUCUUGCUGUUGGAUGAGGAAGCUGAGACACAAUCACGGAAGAGCAAGAUUUAAAAGCCGGCAGUCUGACUCCUGAUCUCUCACUCAUCCACUACUGUAGACAGCCUUCUCUGUGUUUCAUUAGCACAUAACAAGAAUUCAUGCUCUCGGAGUACAAAGCAGGGUUUGUAAUAUCAAUAAAAGAGACACUUUCAUAGUGUUUUAGCUGAGUCUUGAGGAGAAAAGUAGAGUUUUAGUGAAGGAAGAAAGAAAGGCACUACAUGCUGAUUGUAUGUUUGAAGGCGCUGCUGUUAAGAGGUGAAGAUGCUGUUGUGGAAGAUGAAUCUGGGAUGGACUAAGGAUGGAACACUAACAUUUAAAGAAUGGAGGAAGAAAAGCAGUUGUGGAGAGUGAGAAAGACUAGAGAUAAAGCAGAAAAAAUCCUAGAGGGUUUAGUAUCAUGACCAGGAACUAGGCAUUUCAAAAAGGAAGAAACGAUCAACAGUGAUGAAUGAGAAGAGCUGGAAGGAAUGUAGAUGGAGAAAAGCCUAGAGAUUUGUUACCUAGGACACUAGUAAUGACCUCAGAGAAUGCAGAAUGGUAGAGGUGGAAGCAAAACUCAGAGGAUUAUUGAAAAAAAUGAGAAAAGUAGAAAAGUGGAAGCAGGAAGUGCAGACAUUUCCUAUACCAAUGUAGACAUAUUUGUGUUUAUAUACAUACACAUAUUCAUGUGUAUUCCUAGUUUCAAUAAUGCACAAUGUUGAGGUUAACCUUAAAAAAAGAUUAAUUUAGCAAAAGAUAGAAAAGCAGAUCUGAAAAAAGAAUGUAUUCCUUGCCAUUAUAGACUAUGCUUAAUAAGUAAUACUUAGUUUAGUAGAUUGUAGCUUGUGACAACAUGAGAAGUGCAUCCAGUAGAUUCAUAGUAGUUCUUACUGGGGUACCUGCUUAUAUUGUUGCUAGCAAACUAUUUGGGCAUGUUAUUUUUUGUAUCUGGACUAGUUCCUUAUCUGCCAAGAACUAAAUGAUUAAGUCCCAUCUAACAUUUUAGGAUGCUCUGAUCUCCUUUUGACUUAUAGAAAUCACCAAAGUUAGACAGCUAAUGACCACUCUUUUUAAUAUUUCCUCCUUCAUGACAUGGGAAAUGAUUUUUAACGCCACUUUAGCCCAAUAAUUCAGACAUCUCACAUUGUAUAUGCACGUGUGUGUUCAUUUCAGUGCUAUUCACAACAGCAAAAACACAGAAAAAACUUAGGUGCCCCUCAGUGGUGGACUGGAUAAAGAAAAUGUGGCACCUGUACACCAUGGCAUACUAUGCAGCCAUAAAAAAGAAUGAAAUCAUGCCCUUUGCAGCAACAUGGAUGCAGCUGGAAGCCAUUAUCCUAAGUGAACUAACUCAGAAAAUCAAAUACUGCAUAUUCUCACUUUUAAGUGGGAGAUAAACAUUGGGUACUCAUGGAUAUAAAGUUAAAAACAAUAGACACUGGGUUCUAGUAGAGGGUGGAGGGUGGGAGACCAGUAACGGUCGAAAAACUACCUGUUGGGUAUUAUGCUUAUUACUUGGGUGACAGGAUCAUCUAUAUACCCCAAACCUCAGCAUCACACAAUAUACUCAUGUAAUAAACCUGCACUUGUACCCCCCCGAAUCUAAAAGUCAAAAUUAUGUUUUAAAAAAGAAAAUAUCUCAGAGUCUUGUCUUCUAGAUUUUCUUCAUUUCAACAGUUUGCCUUCUAUUCUUUUUCAGUUGCUUAGAUUUAAACUUCCUCAGAGUCUCAGUGAAAAGGACGAGUUUAUUCAGCUGGAAGAAUUGAACCUUGAAAGUAUACCCUUUAACCUUAAGUUUUAAAACACUGGGUUACAAAUAAGAAUAUAAAGUUUUAUUCAUCUCUAAACAUACUAGCAAAGCAACUGAUCUUUUAAACAGAAAAUUAUCAAUCACUAAGGACGCUACCAAAAAUAGAAAUAUUUAAACAUUGUAAUCAGACACCUCUAGUGAUUUGUGAAUAUCUGGAAGUCCUACUGAACCAUCAGCUAUUUGACAUUAUGUAGAGUUAGCUUGAGUCUAGGUGACUUGUUCCUUGGAAAGGCUUAGUUAGCACGGACCUGAAGUACUUCUAGUAUGAAUUCUAUCCUAAUGUCUUUAAGAGCAUUGGGUGGAAAAGAGAUGUACCAACACACACAAUGUUCUGCACAUGGAGUCAUUAAUGAAUAAAUUGGCUGAAGCACCUAGAAAGGUUUCAAAAUGCCCAAUAUCAUCUUACUCAAGGAAAUUUGUUUCCUCGAUGGAAAGCAUGCCAAAAACAAAAAACAAAAACAAACAAACAAAAAAACUAGUAGAACAAACAAGUGGAGAAAAUAGAAAAGCGGAGAAUAGCAGAAACCUUGAGUCCCUUUAUGUUCCUUAAAAAGUUUUUGAUUAUUUUUGUUUUAAUCCAUUCAGCAAGUAUUUAUGGAGUGCCAUCUGUAUGCUAUGAUAAGCUCUAGGGUUACAUUAAUAGAUAAAACAGCCCCCUACCCCUAUCAAAAAAAAAUCCCUACUCUCAUUAGCUUCUUUUAAAUUUAUACCAUUGUUUAAUGGGAAUGAGCCCAGUUGAAUUUUUUCAGUAACAUAUUUUAAAAUAAGCUUUAUUUUCAAAAACAAUUUUAGAUUUACAAAAAAAUUGAAAAGAUAGUUCAGAGAGUUCUCAUCCACUCCACAUAGUUUUCCCUAUUGUUAUCUUUCAUUAGGAUAUAUUUGCCACAAUUAAUGUGUCAAUAUUGAUACAUUAUUUUUAACUAACACCUAUAGUUUAUUUAUAUUUUUUAUAUUUUUCAUUUGUGUCUUUUUUCUGUUCCAGGCUACCAGCCAAUCCAGAAUACCACAUUACAUUUAGUAAUCAGGUUUCUAUCACUUCUUAGGCACUUUAUACAAGUCAUUUCAUUUAGUCCUAACGAGAACCCUGUAAG
rnacentral:lncRNA from 10 species